GCAAGUCGAACGAUAAGCUUACUUCGGUUAGUUGACAGUUGCGCACGGGUGAGUAACGCGUAGAGAUCUACCAAGCAGUGGGGGACAACUAUUGGAAACGAUAGCUAAAACCGCAUACGCCCUUCGGGGGAAAUAUUUAUAGCUGUUUGAUGAGUCUGCGUUAGAUUAGCUAGUUGGUAGGGUAAAAGCCUACCAAGGCGACGAUGUAUAGCUGGUUUGAGAGGAUGAUC
rnacentral:rRNA from 1 species